rnacentral:misc_RNA from 1 species
CCUCCCCUCCUUUCCUCCAUUCUCUUCCUUUUUCUAGCCACACACACACACACACACACACACGCAAGGGCGUCCGCGAAGAGGGCGAAGCAUCUGGAGUGAGGUUUGGUCUCCUUCUUUUAUUUUUAUGCUGUAUCUGAGGAAGUGGUCGUCGGAGGCAUGCAUGCCCUCACCUCGCCAAACUCGCCUCUUUCCACGCCUCGUUAGUCGAAGAACGAAGGCACGGCAACGUUGUGGGCACAUAAUAGACGAAGCAGUAGCCAAUACGUAAGCAUUCAAGCAAAGGCGAGGCUGGCAUGGUCACGCAUCCAGGACACGUUGAUGUAGAGGUGAGCACCAAAAGGGGCUUGCGGGAAUGCGUGCAACACCCUACGGCAACGCGCGUGUGCAUGCCUGCUCGGGUUCGUUUGUGCGCGCGCAACGACGACGGGGGCUACGGGCUGUGCCCAAGUGGGAAAGAGAAAAAGUGCACGCAGAAGACUGGCUGCCGAUGUCAUCUCGCACGGUUCAGCGUGGUGGGUGCGUCUGACCUGUUUUCGCGACGCUCUUCUCUCUCGCCAUUCCCCACGCACAGGCAAGUAUGCAUGGGCCACAUGCUGCUCCCCUUCCCCUGCCUUUCCGGCCGCACUUCACCUCUACUCUCUUCAGCG